rnacentral:rRNA from 1 species
GAUGAACGCUGGCGGCGUGCCUAAUACAUGCAAGUCGAGCGAACAGACGAGGAGCUUUCUCCUCUGACGUUAGCGCCGGACGGGUGAGUAACACGUGGAUAACCUACCUAUAAGACUGGGAUAACUUCGGGCAACCGGAGCUAAUACCGGAUAAUAUAUUGAACCGCAUGGUUCAAUAGCGAAAGACGGUUUUGCUGUCACUUAUAGAUGGAUCCGCGCCGCAUUAGCUAGUUGGUAAGGUAACGGCUUACCAAGGCAACGAUGAGUAGCCGACCAGAGAGACGGAUCGGACACACUAGAACUGGGACACGGUACAAGCUCCUACGGGAGGAAGCAGUAGGGAAUCUUCCGCAAUGUGCGGAAGCCUGACGGAGCAACGCCGCGUGAGUGAUGAAGGUCUUCGGAUCGUAAAACUCUGUUAUUAGGGGAGAACAAAUGUGUAAGUAACUAUGCACGUCUUGAAGGUACCUAAUCAGAAAGCCACGGCUAACUACGUG